AACAAAAUGCGGUAGCCUACGUCACCUGCGACCCCAAGCAAGUGCCCUUCAUCUCAAAGGAUGCUAUUUCGCCACUUGAUUGAGAGCGCUGCACCAUGGACACUUGACUGGUUGAGCACUGGACAAAAAGACAUUUGCAACGGUAACUUCAAUUGAGAAUGACAUGGACCUUCCUAUCACACCUCGACUGAUCAUGCUUGGGAACACAUUACUGACUUCCACAAAAUGGAUGGUGAGCAUGGAGGGGAAGGUGGCCUUUGUCUUGGAUGAGCACUUAAGUUUCACUGAUGCCCUAUUCUUUGUGAGAAUUAAUCCCGAGGAUGGAACUAAGUGUACAACAAAAACAGGAGUGAGCCGAAAAACAGGACAGUUGGUGAAGAGAAAGGCCUUACCAAUCAACAACAGAGUGGCGUCAUUUGUGUCUAGGCUGACCCAAUUUGAGUGGCAGCACUCAAACUAGGUGUGAAUGUCACAUUAGGGUAACACAUAUUUUUCUGGUAGACUGUUUUAUAGUUUCUGGAGGGUUUGGCCCAAGGUUUUGGAGCUGAUUUUUUUAUUGUUAGUGCACUCAGGCUAGUCCUGCCCAAAUGAAGAAGCGGGUCAGUGGAGGUUAGUGGAGUCUAUGGCUGGUUAAAUCUCUCGGUUGAAUGCCAUGGCCAUUGGCCGAACGUAGCUGA